rfam:Lupinus angustifolius cultivar Tanjil contig_28057, whole genome shotgun sequence.
CUAGGUGGGAGUGGCUUAGCAAAUGUUGGCCUGCCCACUCCAAGUUGAGAGUUGAGGCAUGGUGCUUGUGUGAAGACACAAGUAUCAUGUCUCCUAAACAGGAGGGCAAAGCGUGAGGCUGGUUUCACAGAGCAGCGAUCACCUCUGGCUCUUGACAGUGGAGGGAUCACAGGCUGCUGCUAUACCAUUCCACAUGCCUGG